rnacentral:rRNA from 1 species
AUUGAACGCUGGCGGCAUGCUUUACACAUGCAAGUCGAACGGCAGCGGGGAGGAGCUUGCUUCUCUGCCGGCGAGUGGCGAACGGGUGAGUAAUACAUCGGAACGUGUCGAGAAGAGGGGGAUAACCACCCGAAAGGGUGGCUAAUACCGCAUAAAUUCUGAGGAAGAAAGCUGGGGACCUAGGAAUAGGCCUAGCGCUUUUUGAGCGGCCGAUGUCGGAUUAGCUAGUUGGUGAGGUAAAGGCUCACCAAGGCGAAGAUCUGUAGCGGGUCUGAGAGGAUGAUGCGCCACACUGGGACUGAGACACGGCACAGACUCCUACGGGAGGCAGCAGUGGGGAAUUGUGGACAAUGGGGGCAACCCUGCUCCAGCCAUGCCGCGUGUAUGAAGCAGGCCUUAGGGUUGUAAAGUACUUUUGUUAGGGAAGAAAAGUCAGCUGUGAAUAAUGGCUGAUACUGACGGUACCUAAAGAAUAAGCACCGGCUAACUACGUG